rnacentral:rRNA from 1 species
UGGGAUUAGCUAGUAGGUGGGGUAACGGCUCACCUAGGNGACGAUCCCUAGCUGGUCUGAGAGGAUGACCAGCCACACUGGAACUGAGACACGGUCCAGACUCCUACGGGAGGCAGCAUG